GACGAACGCUGGCGGCGUGCUUAACACAUGCAAGUCGAGCGGUAAGGCCCUUUCGGGGGUACACGAGCGGCGAACGGGUGAGUAACACGUGGGUGACCUGCCUCUAGCUCUGGGAUAAGCCUGGGAAGCUGGGUCUAAUACCGGAUAUGACCUCGCGGUGCAUGUUGCGGGGUGGAAAGCCUUGUGCGGCUAGGGAUGGGCCCGCGGCCUAUCAGCUUGUUGGUGGGGUGANGGCCUACCAAGGCGACGACGGGUAGCCGGCCUGAGAGGGCGACCGGCCACACUGGGACUGAGACACGGUCCAGACUCCUACGGGAGGCAGCAGUGGGGAAUCUUGCGCAAUGGGCGAAAGCCUGACGCAGCGACGCCGCGUGAGGGAUGACGGCCU
rnacentral:rRNA from 1 species